ACCCUAAGUGAGUGUGCCGGCCUCAGCUGGGAGGAAUGUGUGCUAGUUCGCUCAAAGUACGCCUAUCACAAGACGUCAUACACGAUUGUCUCUUGUCGGAUAAAAAACUGGACCCCAAGUCUUCACCUGGGCGAGUCUGCUGAUGGAAUGCAGAUGAGACCGGCUCUGGGGAGGCAGUCCCAGGCCUCAGCCGCGGGAUGCGGGAGAAGUGCCUGCGCUCACCGCGGUGGGGCUCCCCAGCGUCUAACAAUGCAACUGGGCUCAUCUCCUACCUUCAGCAAAGGGGCGCCAAGCCUUUCCGAGUUACCGCCCGGCAGCCUUGGCGGAGUUACCCGGUGGACUUUUCAUUUUAAGGUGCGGUGGACUGUAAGGACAGCAUACCAGCUGGGGUGCCUGCUCCCGACAGGACAGUGGUGGGAGCCCUUUCUGAACUGCUACGGAGCUUCCAGGAGGAGCUUGGGGAUGACCUCCACGGUUAGCAUGGCACGAAUCCCUGGUGCCGGUGGGAGGGUCAGCAGAGGGUUGUGGGGGCCCAGACAGACCUGGGCUCUCUUCUAGGUGCACACGUUCCGUGGCCGUGCCUGUGGUCAGAUCGCCUUCCCUGACGCUCCCUUUCUGCCUCCGUGUAGUGGAAACAUAGCACCCAGCUCGCAGAGUGGUUGGGAGCUUUAGAAGUGAGACACACGUGGCUUAGGGCCCGGCCUGGCCCGGCACCUACCAGGGGGCACCAAGGUGCUGUCAGGGCUGUGCUUGGUGGCUUUGCAUCUCUGUUCCCCAGGGCACCCGUGGACACCUGGUGCCUCUCCCACCUCUGCCCAGUUCGGCAACCUGCAGUGGGCCAGUGCUGCAGAGGCCCAGAGACGUCAGACCACGUCUGCCCCUGGUGAGCGCCCUCUCGGGGCCCUGGCUUCCCGUGGGGGCCAGCGGGAUCCAGAGGUGAGAAGGGGGCUGUUUGGAGGGCAGGCCUGGCAAACCGGGUCCUCAAAAUGUGCCUCCGGAUUCUGGCUAGGGCUCGUGUGUCUGCAGCUGACACCCCGGCUCCCCAACGGCUGCCCUCACAGCCCCUCUCUUCCUUGGGGUUCUCCAUCCUUCAUGACAAGCGACAGUGGGACACCUGCCUCCCCCAGGGCUCCAUGGGGCAGCUCCAGCUCCUGCCCCCCACUGCUCAGCCCUAACCCCCACCUACCCCCGCCAUUGCUGGGGAAGCCCAACCACCAUUGCUCAGGUUUCCAAGAUGGAAGCCGGGUCCCUCUAUGCCCCGUGCCCUGCACCGCAGCUGGGUCGCUCAUCUGACACCUGCUGGGUUCAUUACAAGCUCCCCUCCUCUGCCGGGCUGAAGAGCACUGGAGAGCAGGGAUCCAUCUCCCUGGUCUCCCUGGUCUCCCUGGUCCCCCUGGACCCCCAGCGCCCAGUGCAGAUUCCGCUCAGCAUCUGCUCGGAGAACAGAGGAACGAGCCGAGCCCAAGGACGAGUGCCCAGGGCGGCCGGGUGGCUGGUGCUUGUUGGUUUUAUUUCUUUCCACAGUGACUUUGAUGUGACCUCUGGGUGACCUUCACGA
ensembl:lncRNA